AGCUACAGAAAGGUCUGAUGCAGAAGUCUGUAAACUGCCUCAUGAGUGAAACUAUUCUGUCCUGCUCCACCAUAUUGAGACUGAUUCUGUGUACUGUGUGCUGCAUUCCAGUUUGGUUUUGACCCCGGCCUGUGACCUCGAGUACCCAUCUGCUCCUGAUUUGGAAGAAAACCAACAUGCAUAAAAAACAAGAGUGCUCACUGAACAAUAACACAGACUAUAUAAAAACAAAAUCUGUCAGAUGUCAAACCCUGUGGAAGCAACAUGGGAGAUAAUUUAUUGAGUAGAAUGCAGGUAAUUUGCAGUAAUAAUAGGGAAUUCAAUGAGAUUAUGCUACAAUGUUACAGCAUGUUCUUGCCGAAAAGCUUUUAGCAAAAAGACACAAAGACCCUUGGUAGCAAUGCACUGAUGGAAAAAUAGAGCAUUCAUAUACUACCCAAUGUAAUUAUAAAACAAAGUUUCAUUUUACAAAAAUAUGGUAUAAUGAAAUAUUCUUUAUUUUUAUGACGCUUUCUUAUCCAGCAGGCAAUGAUGUAGUAGAAGAUGGUGACAACCUCUCUCUUCUGUCCA